AGUGAACGCUGGCGGUAGGCCUAACACAUGCAAGUCGAACGGCAGCACAGUAAGAGCUUGCUCUUACGGGUGGCGAGUGGCGGACGGGUGAGGCAUACAUCGGAAUCUACUUUUUCGUGGGGGAUAACGUAGGGAAACUUACGCUACUACCGCAUACGACCUACGGGUGAAAGCAGGGGAUCUUCGGACCUUGCGCGAUUGAAUGAGCCGAUGUCGGAUUAGCUAGUUGGCGGGGUAAAGGCCCACCAAGGCGACGAUCCGUAGCUGGUCUGAGAGGAUGAUCAGCCACACUGGAACUGAGACACGGUCCAGACUCCUACGGGAGGCAGCAGUGGGGAAUAUUGGACAAUGGGCGAAAGCCUGAUCCAGCCAUACCGCGUGGGUGAAGAAGGCCUUCGGGUUGUAAAGCCCUUUUGUUGGGAAAGAAAAGCAGCAGGUUAAUACCCCGCUGUUCUGACGGUACCCAAAGAAUAAGCACCGGCUAACUUCGUG
rnacentral:rRNA from 1 species